UACAUAAAAGGCUGUACAAGAAAGUAAACUGUCAUUGAGCCUUACAAACAGUUUUCAUCUCAAUUAUCUCAAAGUCAGGAGAGAAGGCUAUCCUAAGCUUCCAAAAGAUAAUUCAAUUAGCAUGAAGUUCCAAGAAUUUUCAAAGCUCAGAUGGGCAGUUGCUGACUCAGGUUUUUUUGUUUUUGUUUUGUUUUUUUCUCCUAGGAAUCAGAAAUGUCAUUCACAGAUAAGUGCAGGGAGGAACAAAACAGAAAGACAGGAAAUUCUUGGCUCUGGGAUCUGGUAAUAAGGGAGUCUGCCACUUUCAAAUUACCUGCUGGAAUCCGGCUCAAGACAAUUAUAGAUGAAAAAUCUUCUUGGUCUUCAGCCACCUACCCAAAAUUGAUGUUGGUUUUAAACUUCCUAAAGUUGGAGCAACAAUUUUCAUGACUUAGGGUGAGGACAUAUCUGACCAGUUGAUGAAGAAUAGAGCGUGUGGAAGAUAAAGGAGCAACAACCACUCUCAGCUUCUACCUGCCCCUGGGCUGAUGAAGGAGCCUGUAUCAGACUGGAGGGACCUACUCUCACCCAGCUACAGAUGGUGAUUAUCCCUCAUCACCUGACUUUACACCCACUAUCCCCCAAACGCUGGAUUCAGCUGCAAUUGAGAAGAGGCCAAGAUAAACUCCUCUGCCUUAUA